rnacentral:rRNA from 1 species
GACAGAGGGUGCAAACGUUGUUCGGAAUUACUGGGCGUAAAGCGUGUGUAGGCGGCUUGCCAAGUCGGAUGUGAAAGCCCCGGGCUCAACCUGGGAAGUGCACUCGAUACUGGCGAGCUAGAGUAUCGGAGAGGUUGGUGGAAUUCUCGGUGGAGAGGUGAAAUUCGUAGAUAUCGAGGGGAACACCAGUGACGAAGGCGGCCAACUGGACGAAUACUGACGCUGAGACACGAAAGCGUGGGGAGCAAACAGG